rnacentral:rRNA from 1 species
AGAAUCAACGCUGGCGGCGUGCCUAACACAUGCAAGUCGCACGAGAAAGGGAGUUCGCUCCUGAGUAAAGUGGCGCACGGGUGAGUAACACGUGAAUCAUCUACCUCCGAAUGGGGAAUAACUGAGAGAAAUCUUAGCUAAUACCGCAUAAUACCUACGGGUCAAAGCAGCAAUGCGUUUGGAGAGGAGUUCGCGGUCGAUUAGUUAGUUGGCGGGGUAAUGGCCCACCAAGACGAUGAUCGAUAUCCGGCCUGAGAGGGCGCACGGACACACUGGAACUGAAACACGGUCCAGACUCCUACGGGAGGCAGCAGUGGGGAAUUUUGCGCAAUGGGGAAACCCUGACGCAGCAACGCCGCGUGGAGGAUGAAAUAUCUUGGUAUGUAAACUCCUUUCGAUGGGGAAGAUAAUGACGGUACCCAUAGAAGAAGCCCCGGCUAACUUCGCGCCAGCAGCCGC